rnacentral:rRNA from 1 species
UGGGGAAUAUUGGACAAUGGGGGAAACCCUGAUCCAGCGAUGCCGCGUGUGUGAAGAAGGCCUGCGGGUUGUAAAGCACUUUAGUUGGGGAAGAAAGGCGUUUGGUGAACAGCCAGAUGCUGUGACGUUACCCAAAGAAUAAGCACCGGCUAACUCUGUGCCAGCAGCCGCGGUAAUACAGAGGGUGCGAGCGUUAAUCGGAAUUACUGGGCGUAAAGGGCGCGUAGGCGGUUAAUUAAGUUAGAUGUGAAAUCCCCGGGCUCAACCUGGGAACUGCAUAUAAUACUGGUUAGCUAGAGUAGAAUAGAGGGAAGUGGAAUUUCCGGUGUAGCGGUGAAAUGCGUAGAUAUCGGAAAGAACACCAGUGGCGAAGGCGACUUCCUGGAUUCAUACUGACGCUGAGGCGCGAAAGCAUGGGUAGCAAACAG